rnacentral:siRNA from 1 species
GGGUGGACUUACACCAGAUGGACC